UACGGGGGGGGCAAGCGUUGUUCGGAAUUACUGGGCGUAAAGGGCUCGUAGGCGGCCAACUAAGUCAGACGUGAAAUCCCCAGGCUUAACCUGGGAACUGCGUCUGAUACUGGAUGGCUUGAAUUCGGGAGGGGCGAGUGGAAUUCCUGGUGUAGCGGUGAAAUGCGCAGAUAUCAGGAGGAACACCAAUGGCGAAGGCAGCUCGCUGGAACGGUACUGACGCUGAGGCGCGAAAGCGUGGGGAGCAAACAGG
rnacentral:rRNA from 1 species